rnacentral:rRNA from 1 species
AAACAUCUUUUCUUGUUAGUUUUUGAAGUAUGGCCUGCCCGCUGACAUUUGGUGUUGAAGGGCCGCGGUAUUAUGACCGUGCAAAGGUAGCAUAAUCAUUAGUUCUUUAAUUGUGAUCUGGAAUGAAUGGCUUGACGAGGCACGGGCUGUCUUAGUGUUGAAUGUUUUAUUGAAUUUGGUCUUUGAGUUAAAAUUCUUAGAUGUUUUUGUGGGACGAGAAGACCCUAUAGAGUUUGACAUUUGGUUUAUUUACUUGUUUGUUGUUUGUUUAUUUUUGGUGAGUGGGCUUUUUGUUUUGUUGGGGUGAUGGGAGGAAUGUACUUAACUCCUCUUAGUUUUGGUUAUAUUGAUUUAUAAUUGUUUGAUCCAUUUAUUUUGAUUGUAAGACUAAAUUACCUUAGGGAUAACAGCGUAAA